ensembl:lncRNA
AAUCCUGCCGUCGGCUUAAGAGCUGAGAGGGCGACGCUCACGCUGAGCCCCCGGCAGCCAGUGCACCAGCCCGACCGCAUGCGCCGGGCAGUCUUUCACGGAGGCGGGCUCUAGGCGGUGCGCACGCAGAGGCGGGGGGCGGGGUGGGGGCGCGGGCCCGCCCCAGGGCGGGACCUGGGUGCGCCGGCGCCAGGGUCCGGAGUGCGCCGGCGCAAGGCCGGCGUGCUUUGCUAGUAGUGCUGCCUGCUUCUCCGGAUCAAUUUCCCAGCGCUGCUGUCGCCCGGCAGACGCAAGAGGGAAGGCCAAGACGGCGGCUGGGCGCUGGCUCCUUCCUCAUCUGAUGGGAGUAAGAAUGAGAGAAGCAGAAAGAAAAGCCGGUGUGAAAGCCUCAGUCGCCCAGCCGAGUUGGAGGCCAGUGUCGCUGCAUUGGAGAGAGCCAAAAGAAGAGAAAUCAAUACGGCGUGGCCACACUGCGCAGAGCAUUAUAGACCAAGGCUUUUCUUUCCCCCUAAGGGCAGUGGAAAGCCAUAGAAAGUUUUUUGAGGAGGCGGCUUGGUUUUGCUUUGAAUAGUGAAUAUAUGUUUUUUUCUCCAAACACUAUACAAGUGUAUACUUAAAAAGUAAGUCUCUGCAUGCCAGUGUUCUGUUUUCUUCCUUAGAAGCAGUUUGUCACAAGUUCUUGUAUACCAUCAUUGAGGGAUGUAAAGGAAAGGUGUGACAUGAUCAGACUUGUGUUUCAGGAAAAUGACUCAACCAAAUGGAUUCCAAGAAACCAGUUAGGAGAUUUCUGCAAUGGCCCCAAAGAGAGGCUUCUGGCUUCUUCUGUCUGAAUCACCACUUCUCCUGCUCUGCAAGCUGCACUCAGCUCCAGACCUAAAACAUGCUUCGGGUGUUUUACAGCCACACUUCUUUCAAGAAACAUUUGGUGUUUAUCAAAGUGCCUGGGACAUGAUAAACACUGAGAACAUACUUGUCGAAGUAACGAAGGAGCUGUAGAAGAUAUAAAAUUAGCCCCUCACUUAGCCACUCUACUGGGUGACCACUUUACCCUUUCCUCUCCUUCUGUAAACCUCUACUCUCAGCAGAUGGUCUCGCUUCCUAUUUCAUUGAGAAAAUAGAAGCCAUCAAGAGAACUUCCUUGAGCUCCCACCACCCUAUCCAUCAACCUACUUUUGUCUGUGCAUACAAGCUCUGCCUUGUCUUCUGUGCUGUGGACAAACUGUCCAUGAGCCUCUUCUCUUUGCUUCAAGUGCCAUAUCCUCUCAUCAAUUCAAGAAUGUCCCGCUAGUAGUUCUCCCCUCCUGCAUCAUCGAUUUUCCCUCUCUCCUAGAUCACUUCCACUAACAUGAUGCAGUUUCUCCCAUCUUAAAACAAAACCCCUCCCUUGACUGUACGUAAUUCUCUGGCUAUCCCUCCAUUUCUCUGUGCCCCUUUUCAACACAACUCCUAGAAAAUGUUAUUUAUGCUUGCUGUCUCCAAUUUCUUCCCUCUCUCUUGAACUCAUUCUGUCAGGCUGUUGCUCAGGUAAUUCCACUGAAACUGCUCUUGUCAAAAAUUAACUUCUACCUUCCCCCACCUCGUCUCUAUACCAGCCUAGACUCACAAGCCCCAGAUAAAGACACCAGUGUGGCUGCGUAUGCAUGAUGUGAGUGUGUGUGUGUGUAUUUGCAUAUUUGGGCAGCUCCUCUCACCCACCUUGAGCUCACAGACUCCCUGUGGACUUCUGGGUGCAACCAUCCUGUCCCCACAUCCUGCCCCAAACUUACUACUUCGCUAACAGUAUUUGUCACAGCUUGGUCACUCCUUCCUUAAAAUGUGUUCUUUACUUGGUUUCUAGGAAACCACUUUCUCAGUUUUUCUCCUAUUUCAUAGGCCUCUCCUUCUGCAUCUACUUUCCUAGAUCCUUUCCGCCUCCUGACCUCUAAACAUCGGUAUGCCUCAAGGCUCAGAAGAUCCCUUCUCCACCUAUAAUCAUUCUCUGGAUGAUCUCAUUCAGGCUUUAAAUACCAGACUUUAAAUACUAGGCUUUAAAUACCAUCUGUAUCCUGACAACUCACAAAUUUGUAUUUCCAGCCUAGACCUCUCUCCUUAUCUCCAGUUUUGGGGCCCUUCUAAGCACGA